rnacentral:rRNA from 1 species
AUUGAACGCUGGCGGCAGGCUUAACACAUGCAAGUCGAACGAGUGGCGGACGGGUGAGUAAUGCUUGGGAAUCUCGCUUAUGGAGGGGGAUAACUACGGGAAACGGUCGCUAAUACCGCGUACCAUAAGAUGAGCCCACGUGGGAUUAGGUAGUUGGUGGGGUAAUGGCUCACCAAGCCGAAGAUCCAUAGCUGGUCUGAGAGGAUGACCAGCCAUACCGGGACUGAGACACGGCCCGGACUCCGACGGGAGGCAGCAGUGGGGAAUAUUGCGCAAUGGGCGCAACCUGACGGAGCCAUGCCGCGUGAAUGAAGAAGGCCUUCGGGUUGUAAAGUUCUUUCGGUGACGAGGCGUUAAUCACAGAAGAAGCCCCGGCUAACUCCGUGCCAGCAGCCGCGGUAAUAC